AUAUAUACCUCGCGCGCCCACCUGUUCUGUUAGUGUGGACCAGACCGCUGAGGGCAACGAGGAGGGCACACACACACACACACACACACACACACACACACACACACACACACACACACACACACACACACACACAGUAGAUCAUCACGGUGACCCAAGUGCGCAGGGCUGGAGGGAGGCGCCAGCCAGCCUCACAAAGUGUUUCACCACACUGCCGCCCUCCCUCCCAGCUCCGCCCAGCAGCCCACCUAGGGGCCAAGCAUGGGUCACCGGCUACCAGUCACCUAUCAAAGCUAACUGGUGGCCUUGUGAUGAUGCAGGACGUCGGAGAAACCACUGGUCCUCACUCAGUCGGUCGCCGCGGUGCCUCAGCGGUCUCUGUGGUUUGCCCGACACCUGUUUGUAGUCAGAAACUGUCAUGCAGCUCUUCCCCUCCUCUCCCGCCACCACCGCCACCCAUUCCCUCGGCUGAGGGCAGCCUGCUACGUAGCUGGUGACCAUCUGGCUGUUAUUUGUGGCAAUGUGUACGUGCUCUACUCAUUGUACAGUUCGAUUUUAAGAGUCGUCCACCAUCUCUGCUUCGUAAUCUUCAAAGGUGAUAUUUUUGGUAAAGAAAAUUAUUUUGUUAAUUAUAAUUAAGGAAACUUAAUUCAUUCAAGAAAUUUAAAUAUGUGAAAAUUGAUAAGUGCUACUUUGAAAUUUAUUUUGAUAUGUCGUAUCACGAUGGCCCCAUACAUAUUGAUGUUAGAGACGGGCGAAGUGCCGCCAGCGGGAACCCGUGGCGGUGGCUUGUGAGAAGACUACUCAUUACCAGGGUGACCUUGUGCCGGAAUGUUGUUCUCACUUUGUAAGUGUGUCAAGCAUUAAUCCAGAUAUAUUGUGCAUGAAGGAAAACGGACGGAAUUACAAUAGUUAAAGAUGUUCCCCGCUGAAUUCCCUCCUUCCGGGUGUUCUGAACGACGCUGGUCAGUUCGCAGGUGGUCAGUGACAGGGCCCGAGCCAAGAAGACCCGAGUGCAUCAGGGUGUUAGCCAGAACAGCAUCUCCAUCGCCCAUAGAGUAAUCCACAACGGACCGUGUUUGCCAGAUUCAUUUGUGAAAGAACUUUUGUCAUCAUCUCUCUUGGCUGCAAAAUUAUAAUGAUGCUUUAAAAUAUCAUUCAACUUCUCUCACAUCAGAAACUUUCAAUAGACAUUUAAAAGCUUGAGGCAAAUUAACCGAUGCUGUUCCUCUGGAAACCCAAAAAAGGAGAGGGAGAAAGAAAAUUAACGAAAGAAAAGGAAAAUUGUUCGGUGAUAGUGUCUACUCUUACGAAUGGGAUAUAACAACCAAUAGAUAAUCUAGUAAUGGUGAUAAAAUAGCUGCGAUCUUCCGCUUUGUCAUGCAGUGUCUCUCGUCUUCACGUCAUCUGUACCCUCUGGAGUGGCAAGCGCGCCAAGGCUCGGGGGCUCGGGAUCUGAUAAGGCACCUUGCAUGGCACCAGUCUCGAGAACUCCCUCUCCUUGUCCCUCCCGUUCAAUUUGCAUCACCGUACACCAUGGAGAAGCUUAAAGGUCUGGAAAUGCCAGUGCGAUAAAUCAGUGUGGUAAACAUCAUUGCACCGAACUCUGUCCUACUCAUCUCAUCCUAAGCUGGUCUAGCCGCGCUUCAGAACGCCUGUAUAGCUCCCCACCACCUGGCCAUCUAGUUGUCUGGAGGGGCAUUUCAUGGUCAUCCCGCUGUCACCUAGCCAGUCAGACAACUCCUUGGCCAAUGGAGCAAGGGUCUUAUGUUGGUUUAUUGAUGUGCCACCUAAACCAAUAAGUGACACCCUUGCCCCAUCCAGGCGGUGGGUGAUGCUUGUCUUAUGCUUGUCUUGUUUUUGCUUCGGAGUGUUUCAUCUACAGUGUUCCUUGUAUGUAAAGUGUCCACAUACCGUAUCUGGUGUAUCAUUAACUUGCCAUGUAGUUUGCCAGUAGUCAGACGAACAUGUGGUGGAUGUGUAAGUGGUAUAAUGUUGAAUAAGGUGUUAUAAGUGAAAGAUCAACUAUGACACACACACACACACAUACCGGUAAACUAACUAGAAAUCAAGUAGUAGCUUCAUUUACAAGUCAGAGUACAAUAAAGUAACUAUACAAUGAUACAAUGAUAUUAUACAAUGAGAAGUCUUAGGAAAGAUAUAUUAAGUAGACAACAAAAAGGGAUGCAAGCUGGAGAAACAAACAUCUCACUAAGAGGAGUGAAGGAUGUUGCGGCAGCAGUAUUUGGUGCCUAAUAUCAGUGGGGUAUCUAGUCUUUUAUACAGACGUUAAUAUUAUAGUUUUAUGGUUGCAUUUUUUAUAAAGAGAAUGAAAAGAAGGCUCUACAGAAGCCAUAGGGGUCAGGGACAAGAGGUGGCUCAAGGCGGCGAGUGAAGCAUUAGUUAGAGGAGGAGGAUCAGUUGAGAUGGAAAGAUGAGCUAGUGGUGAGUUCACACUGGUCAAAUUCAGGCGUACUGACAUCAGAUCAUGGGGUCAAUGUCCAUAUAAUAUCAUGCAGUAUUACAUAGACCUGGGGGGAGAUGAUGUUGACAAGCGAGUUUCAGCCGAAGCAGUGAAACAGUGAACCGCGCGCCGUGAGCAGCUUCAAAGCUCAGACUAUAAUAAACACUUCUCUUGCUUAGCUCAAGGGAUAUCAACAAUAGCAACGUGGACUGCCCACACACUGUUACCUCUUACUAUACUUCAAUAUUUCUCACUAUAUCCUUCUUCUAUCCCCACUCUUACUUCGCUUCACCCCACUUUUCUAAAAAAAAAAAAAAGCUCAAGGGAAGCUCAGUCGAGUUCAGGGAAGCUUAAGAGGUUGUAUAGCGGUCACUUGUCUUCCUUGGAUGCGGGAUGUAUCAUGCUCUACUGUGGCACGAUUCUUAUUGCAUUGCAAGGAAUGCAUAUAAGAGCCUGGUGAAGUCUUCCUUCCAUUAAGUUAUAGUAGGUAUGUAUUUAGUGUAUAGGACAAAAACAAUGUCGAUAACAAGAAGUGUCUACGUAGCUACUACUUGAACUAUCUUGCCAAAACCUUAUACUCGUCAGUGUUGUCAUCUCAACCUUCUUCCAGCGCUGUGUAGGAAGACUGAGUAUGCCAUGACAGUAUAAGAUUACAGGGAAAAAAAAUGAAUGUGAGUUGUGUUUAUAAAAUUCAAGUUAUCUAUGAUAGUGUAAGAAGUAAUAUUUUUUUUUUGAGGGAAUAAUCAUGGAAAGUGAAAGGAAGGACCAUGAGUAAAUGUUUGGUAGAUUCAUUCUUAAAUACAUAUGUAUUUUUAUAUUAUUUUUUCAGCCACUGUAAGCAAAUCCGCAAGUCAUGUUCUCAGUUUCCAUAUACUGUCCUGAUGUAAUAGGAGAAACAACUAUUAAAAUUAUAUAUUUAUUAAAGAAAUGCACAGGCAUGUAAGAAAGCAUUUAUAUCAAACCCCAUUAAACACAUAACAUCUCACAACAAAUUUAAGCACAUAACUCACCAAGCUUUAUUGCUCUCUGCACAAAGGUUUUGCUAAAUGUCAUCUAAACUUUCCUUUGUGAUCAUGUGCAUGUCAAUAGGUUGCUGUAAUUUAAGUGUAAGAAAGAAUAUAUCACAUUAAACCCAACUAUUUCAGGGCUUCUUUAAUUCUAAGCUUGCACAACCAUCAUACAGAAUAGUCACCUUAUGUUUAAGUAUAUAUAUUAGCAUAUCUUAACCUCUUUUUCUGCUAUGAUCAUCCUUCAUUAACAUUCUGAACACUGGGAAGAAUUUAUUGUACAGUCAUAAGGAAAAAGAGAGAAUAGGAGAUUAGUUCUCUCUUUUCUAGGCUGCAGAAUUAUUUAGGAGUCUGCAGUACAAAAACAUGUCUGAUAAGUUGUAAGUUAUUAUUGGGAAAUUUAUAUAAGAUGGACACAAAUUUCUUGACUUGGAACAUUGUCAUGGUGGACAAGGCAGUACAGUGUGUGUGUGUGUGUGUGUGUGUGUGUGUGUGUGUGUGUGUGUGUGUGUGUGUGUGUGUGUGUGUGUGUGUGUGUGUGUGUGUAGAUGGGUUACAAUGUGGCUCAUUUUGAACAUGGUUAACUCUCCAGCAUCUCUCUCUCUCUCUUACCCAGAAUGAUACCUUAUGGAGACAGUCAUAUACAACUCUAUUAUUUUUGGCUCAAGCAUCCCAUUCCCAACACAAUAUAAAGCAAAUUGUCAGUCUUGGAAGCUCCCAUUACACAGCAUACAUAUAUAUUUCUCAGCCAAAGCUCAGUAAAAUUUGUCAGUUUUACUUAUGAAUCAGACACAGGCAGGCUUGUACUUUGACGUUGUGAAUCAGGACAAGAGGCUGAAGUAAAGAUCAUGCUUGGUUAAAUACUUCAAGGAACUGCUUAGAGUGGAGGAAGGAAAUCAUUCCCAAAGUUAAGUUCCACACAAAAUCCUCAUGUUCCUUAAAAUGUACAGUAAUUUGUUGUUAUAAGUGUAGCUUUCUAACCACUUAUACUGUGUGUGUGUGUAUACACCUUUACUGAUGUUUUUUUUACUAUCUCAGCGAGUCUUCUUGAGGAAUUCUCCUAAACUUAGAUUAGUUGUAUAAACACAUUAUUGCUUAAGUUUUUGGAAUACAUCCUGAAGGGGAAAAUUCAACACCAAAAAGCCUGAGACUCACAAAUCCACUUCUUAUAAGUUUCCUACAAGUUUCAGUCUUAGAUCAAAUACAUAAUUUUGUUUUAUUGCAUAUUUUAAAUGAAUUUUGUACUUUUUAUGAAUGUGAAAACCACAAUAUUUUUUUAGCUAUUUAGGUUUUACAUUUUCUUUCCAUGACAAAAGGAUGACUACUUUUUCUUUUUGGAAUCUGGUCCAAAGCGCCAAUUUGGAUUUGAUAUCCAUAUUGCAGUAGUGAGAGCAGUGGCCAGAGUGAGCCAGGCCAGGUAGGGAAUCAACAGCAGCCCUGCCAAGGCAUCCUCCUUCCAGAAGGCAAACAUUGUCAUGGCAACAGAACCAUCCAGGAGCAGGAUCUCAAACAAAGCCUGGAACAGAUUGUCAGCAAUUGAGAAAACUUUAUAAUGAUCUCAGGUUUAGGAGCUUCUUGCACCAUCUUACAGUUUACUCCUGCCUGCCUGGAGACUUUGCCAGCAAAGCCCUGCAGCAUCUUACAGUUUAUUCCUCCCUGCCUGGACACUUCCCCUGCAAAGGCUUGCACCAUCUUACAGUUUACUCCUGCCUGCCUGGACACCUCCCCUGCUAAAGCCUGCAAAAAUAGAUGUCAGAUGAGGAAAGGAUGAAAUACAUAGAUUGGAGAAGUAUCGUAUGUCAGAAUUGAGAGAUCUUCGGAUGUCGUAAGUACAGCUGGCUUUCUACUUGAUGAAGCAAUGUUUUACUUGUGUAUCUAACGAAAGCGACUUGUUAACUCGAGGAAUUUUAGUAGUUUAAUUUGUAAGAAUCGUCCAUUGAAACGCCCUGAAGACAGCGUGAGGUCCUAGAUUAGAGGCCAGCAGAUUUUGAAGCACCCAGGAUUCAGGUCUCCUUCCCACCCUUCUUUAGAAAAUAUCCAGGGCCUCGCUCGCGGGACAGCAGACCAGCAGUUCCACUUUCUAACCUGUAAAUGACGAAAUAAAGAUCCUUUAUAA